rnacentral:lncRNA from 1 species
AGGGGCAAUAUUGGUGACGUUUUCUUGUUCGUUAGUUUGCAUGGCUCUUCGGCGGCUAAGUACUGUGAGUGGACCCCUUCUAAAAUGCAUGUUUUAUAGUAGAAAUGCAUACAUGAAAAACAUGAUUUGAUGAUUACGUUUUAUGAAACGUUUUGUGAGAUAACAUGCUUAUUGAGGCUACUUUAAAUUAUUACUAUUUUUCCUAUAACCCGUGUUCUUAUAGAAUAUCUGAUGGAUGACGAUAUGAUAUUUAGAACAUGUUUCGAACACCUCUUUAUAGUAUAGAUGAUGGAUGACUUUAUAUUAUGAAGUUGUUUUUCAAUAUAUGUAUGUUCAAUGGUUUUGUACUUAUCUAGUGGUCCUUUCCGCUACGGGACGUAGGGAUAGAUUUCGGUCCGUCCCGGGCGACGGUUUGGUGUUGGCAUAGGGCCUGGAGUGUGUUUCCUCUGGCUAUUUAGCACAGGGACGGGGAGCCGGCAUGGGGCCUGAAGUGUAUUUUCCUCUGAUUGUCUGCUCAGAGACGGGGAGCCGGCAUGGGGCCUGGGGGUUAUUGGACAAUUCACUAGUGAUUAUUAUAUAUACAAGUUAUGAUUUGAGACACUGCACAUCAUGCUAGGUUUCGGAAAACCUAUGUUUAUCAUUAUAUAUGUGUUUUCAUAAAACUUGGGGGUUAGUACGUUGAUAACUGUUUUGUUAUAUUUAUAUCAAAUUGGUCCACUCAUGUUUGUUUUGCGCCCCCUUCAGGAUUUAGGAUCGAGGCAUACAAUCCCGGCAUCCAGGCACUUCCGCAUCGGUAUCUUCGAGUCCUCUCGGUGUAGAACCCACUUCUGUGUUCAUUCAAUUUUUAUAUUAACUCUUUUAAUAUUCUAGAUUAGAUGUGUGCUCUGAACACGUUCCUUAAAUACAUAUUCU